AUUGAACGCUGGCGGCAGGCCUAACACAUGCAAGUCGAGCGGAGCGGCGGACGGGUGAGUAAUACCUAGGAAUCUGCCUGGUAGUGGGGGAUAACGUUCGGAAACUGACGCUAAUACCGCAUACUAUCAGAUGAUCCUAGGUCGGAUUGGCUAGUUGGUUAGGUAAUGGCUCACCAAGGCUACGAUCCGUAACUGGUCUGAGGGAAUGAUCAGUCACACUGGAACGGAGACACGGUCCAGAAUCCUACGGGAUGCAUCAUUGGGAAAGAUUGGACAAUGGGCGAAAGCCUGAUCCAGCCAUGCCGCGUGUGUGAAGAAGGUCUUCGGAUUGUAAAGCACUUUAAGUUGGGAGGAGUGACCGACAGAAUAAGCACAGGCUAACUCUGUGCCAGCCGCCGCGGUAAUAC
rnacentral:rRNA from 1 species